rnacentral:rRNA from 1 species
UACAGAGGGGGCAAGCGUUGUUCGGAAUUACUGGGCGUAAAGGGCGCGUAGGCGGCCUGCUAAGUCGAACGUGAAAUCCCUGGGCUUAACCCAGGAACUGCGUCCGAUACUGGCAGGCUUGAAUCCGGGAGAGGGAUGCGGAAUUCCGGUGUAGCGGUGAAAUGCGUAGAUAUCGGAAGGAACAUCAGUGGCGAAGGCGACUUCCUGGACCAAUACUGACGCUCAGGUGCGAAAGCGUGGGGAGCAAACAGG